AGAGUUGGUGUCAAUACUAGAAACACAUGAGCACAAAGAAAACAGAUGUAAUUGGCUUCUGGAGGUCAGGUUAUGUAAAGACCCCGGUGAACAGAGGUUAAAAACAUAAGGAAACAAAAUGGCAAUAUCCUGGAUUUUACCAUCAGACUUUAAUGAGGCAUUGAACUAAGCUCCGGCUCUCUGCACAGAAGGCAUCCUUUAAGAAGAACCACUGAGGUUCCCUUAAUUUGAAUUACUUCAUUCUUCUCAAAGCACGAUGCUACGCAAACAGCUCACAGUGAACUCAGCGCUGUGGGUUUUCUUACCUAGGCGGACGAGCUGGAAGAAAUGUGGUCGGUGCAUGACUGGUACUGGGGUCGCGGUGGCUACAAAAGCAGAUGGUGGUUUUCAUUGCUCUGAGUUCUGUUCCUGGCUCUGUGAGUAAGCAGCCAAUGGACUUGAGUUUUCUGAUCAAGCGCCUAUUGAGUGAAUGAGAAUCAUAGAAUGGUUUGAGUUGGAAGACGCUCUUAAAGUCCAUCCAGUCCCACUCCCCUGCAAUGAACAGGGACACCCACAGCUCCAUCAGGUGCUCAGAGCCCUGUCCAGACUACCUUGGGUGUCUACAGGGAUGGGACAUCUUCCACCCCUAUGGGCAAAUCCUGGUGGGUUUUUUUUUUUUGCUCACUUUUCUUUUUCCUAAUGCAACCACUCUAGAAACAGACCUAUUUGAAGAACAUAAAAAAGUGAUAAUCCAACCCAAUUUUUCCAGUGGAGGAUUCUCCUAGUGUAAGAGAUAUACCAAGAUGUUGCAGUUCCUCAUACAAACUUCCAGUCCUAAUCAGUGUCUGGGACAGGUUGUGUUCAUGAUGUGAAGAGCCACUCUCAUGCUGUUUGCUGGUCCUUGGAUACAAUAUGGUCUUGCUAGAGAGGUUUUGUAUGGCUUUGGGCUAUGGUAAGCGCCAGAAGAGACAGAGAUGUAAUCAUUUCCCCAGCUCCCCUCCCUGUAUCAGGAAGAAUUUGGCUGAGCCAAGAGAGCAUGGCCCUUGCUGUGAGCAACACUGUGGUUUACAAAAUAAAACUAACGUUGGACUAUCUAGGAAAAAUCACACUUAUUAUGAGCCUGUCUCAAACCUGCUUUGUGCCAAGGGAUAGUGAGGGGAGGGCUGCAGAGGAAUCUGUGUGGGAAGGGGGACAGGUACCUGAUCUUCUAUGAUUAACUUGACAAAUGUCUUCCUGGCCUCUAUCCAUUUCCUUGUGGAGAUACGGCUUUGGAUGCAUUCAAAAUGACCUACUUUUCACUGCUGGCCAGCAUUUUGCUGCUGCCUUGUUAUUGUUGGACUUAUCUCCUCCAUUUGGUGCUGCUGUGCAUGAGAUCUCUGUCCUGUGGCAGACUGCUGGCCUCGAGCUGGAGUACAGGAUAUCUCUGACUGCUCAUGUGCUGAUGGUGACAUAGCAUGCAUCUUGAGCUAUCUAUCCUCUGAUCAUCUCAGAAGGCUUUAAAGACUAUUCUGUUCUGUUCUGUUCCAUUCUAUUUUCCCAGUGCUGUGCACAGUAGUUAAGCCCUAUGCAGAGCUCCUGAAUAAAUAAAUAAUCUUUGUG
rnacentral:lncRNA from 7 species